rnacentral:rRNA from 1 species
UACAGAGGGUGCGAGCGUUAAUCGGAAUGACUGGGCGUAAAGGGCGUGUAGGUGGUUAUGAUAGUCUAAUGUGAAAGCCUAGGGCUUAACCUUGGGAGGCCAUUAGAUACGUUAUAGCUAGAGUGUUAUAGAGGGUAGUGGAAUUCCCGGUGUAGCGGUGAAAUGCGUAGAUAUCGGGAAGAACACCAGUGGCGAAGGCGGCUACCUGGAUAAGCACUGACACUGAGGCGCGAAAGCGUGGGUAGCGAACAGG